UACGUAGGGUGCGAGCGUUGUCCGGAAUUAUUGGGCGUAAAGAGCUCGUAGGCGGCCUGUCGCGUCGACCGUGAAAACCCGCAGCUCAACUGCGGGCUUGCGGUCGAUACGGGCAGGCUGGAGUUCGGUAGGGGAGACUGGAAUUCCUGGUGUAGCGGUGAAAUGCGCAGAUAUCAGGAGGAACACCCGUGGCGAAGGCGGCUCUCUGGGACGGUACUGACGCUGAGACGCGAAAGCGUGGGGAGCGAACAGG
rnacentral:rRNA from 1 species